rnacentral:rRNA from 1 species
UACGAAGGGGGCUAGCGUUGCUCGGAAUCACUGGGCGUAAAGGGCGCGUAGGCGGGCUCUUAAGUCAGGGGUGAAAGCCCAAGGCUCAACCUUGGAAUUGCCUUUGAUACUGAGGGCCUUGAGACCGGAAGAGGUCGGCGGAACUGCGAGUGUAGAGGUGAAAUUCGUAGAUAUUCGCAAGAACACCAGUGGCGAAGGCGGCCGACUGGUCCGGUUCUGACGCUGAGGAACGGAAAGCCAGGGUAGCGAACGGGAGUUAGAUAACCCUUGA